UCAUUAAACAAGAGGCACCAACAAUUCAAUCCGUGAUUAUCAACACCGGUUUAUUUCACAAAACUGCAAUGGAAACCUCUUUCUGUACAUGUUUUAAAAUAAAAAACCAGGGCUAUUUAUGUAAAGUUGGUGAAUCAAAUGACUAGAAACAAAAAGCUCAAUCUGACUAAAUGUUACAUGUCUUAUUAUACAGAGUGGAAACAUGUAAAUUCUUGGUUUCCACAAACUGCAGCUUUUCUUUUUGGUGACAUUUCCCAUUGUGUUAGAGGACAGUAACGAUGAAUGCCAAGGCCAGAAAACACUCAGUGUGUUGAUCACACGGCAUCAGAUCUGUCUGUCAGCGACUGUUGCAUCUCCACGGCAACCGGGAACACCUCAGUGACAAACCGUUAGGUGUCUUUGAAACGCCACGUCAGCUGGGAGUCUACCUACGCUCGGCGACCUUGCAGCCCGUCCUGAGGCUCCGACCAGAGACAAAGACGUGACUGAGAGCUGCAGGGUUGUGGAGAGAGGUGGAGUACCCAGAGGGCAACAAGAACCGCAACGGAGACUCAGCAGAGAAACAACCAAACUCUUAACGCAGAGGGGAACCAGAGCAGAUGCAAAAACUGUUUUAUCCAAGAGCAGCCCAGAAGAAAUGAAUAUUCACCGAGAGGCUGCAGCCCAAAGGAAGAAACCAAUAAGAAACCUUUCAGCGACCCAGAUGAGGUCGUUUAUCAAUAAGGUUUAAAUAAAAAGGUCACACUGUUUGA